GCGGCGAUACGGAUAUCGGGACAGCGUAUCAAUCGAAUUGAUUUUGGUGUACAUAGUUCUGUGAGUGGAAAAAUAUAAAUAUUUUUAAAGUAUUUAUAAAUUAAGUUAUUGUUAAAGUAUGUACAAUUAUAUCAACUAUGUGUUCAAAUUACAUGGUUUUUAUGGAAAUAUCUUUUAUUAUGAUACAUGUGGGAUUUCAAAGAUUGUAUAUGUUACAUAGUGAAUUGGAAUAUGAGAUAUAAUUUUGGGAUCGACCAGAAAAGUACCCGUGAUUAUAUAUUUCUUCUAGUUCACCGAGGGGCCUUAGCCGUGUUCUAUACUACACUGAUAGGUCAUGGACCGGGGAUGAAGGGGUCUCGACUAUAUAUAUAUAGUUCAUUGUAGGGCCUUGACCGUGUUCUAGAAUUGAUUUUGAGAGAUCUCUCAGACCGACCUUCGUUUACGGAGGGGCCAAAGGCCCGCGGCGAAAGUUCUUAACCCGAGGGGCGGAUUACAUAUUUCAGUCAGAGGGUACAUUUUUGGUGGAUUUUUCAGCACGUUUGAUGUGAUGAGAUUAUAACAUGGUUAUCAGCUGAUGUUAUAUCAUGAUUUUAAGAUGAUAUUUUUAUGACAUUAUGUGAAUAUUUCACUUUUUGGCUAUAAUUACAUGAUGGUAGCUUGUGAAUUAUCAAAUGGUAUGAAUUUGAUUUUCAAUAAAAAUGUAUAAAUGAAAAAAUAUAUUUAUUUUGAACUUCUCCAUUCACUGAGCUAUCAACUCAUAUAUUUUUCCACGUUUUUUCCUUAUCAAGCAGCAGUUGAGAAUUUAGGCAUCUUUUGGAGUUGAGCCUUGAUUUUGGAGUUAGAGCCACACGACAGAGUUUGUUAGUAUGACUCACUUCAUAGAACAUGUAGUCAGUGGUUUGGGACGCAUGUUCAUGUCUAGAUGUGAUUUUGCAUCACUUGUAGUUAGUUAUGGGGCUUAUUAUGUAUUAUGUAUCCAUAUGUAUAUUUCAUUGUAUUUCUUGAUGAAAGUGGAGAUUUCGGCUUAUCUUUAUUGUGCUGUGCUAUAGUCUGGGAUUUGUGUGAAAUUGAUCGCAGGUUGGUUAGUCCUGUUUAUAGGGAAGAUAAUGCCGAAAUUUUGUUAGAAAAAUAAUGUAUAAAAAGUGAUAUAUUGUAUUUGUAGUAGCUUUGAUGGUGGGUCCGACUUUUAGUUGGUAUCUAUCAUCGACGCAUGCCACGUUUGGAUCUAGUGGUGUUACAUGGGGCGGGAUGUGUCAGUUUGGUAUCAAAGCAUGCAUUAGAGUUCAUGGGUUUGCAUUAUACAUGCAUACAUUCUGAUGUUUAGCAUAUCAUGCAUAACUGUAGGUGAGUUAUGCCUCGUGGUGGCAAAACUCGAAGGCUCUAAGAUAUGUUGCCCCAGUCUCAUAUUGCUCUUGAUAGAGAUGAAUUGAGAGAGCUCGAGAGAAUAUAUGAAUCAGUUCACCAACCUCUUGAACAACGGGGACAGGGAAAUGUGAUUGGAAUUGAUCCUAUUGCUGUUGAAAGAAUUGCUAUUGCCGUUGCAUCUGCUAUGAGUAAUACUGACAGAGUUUCAGUAUUGAAAGGGCUACAAAGUUAGGGGCUAAAGUGUUCACUGGCACAGCCGAUCCUGUAAUUGCACAGGCAUGGAUGACUAAGAUAGAGAGAGUAUUUGAUGUUAUGGGUUGCUCAGACGAUAGGAAGUUGUGUCUCGCCACUUUCUUAUUAGAGGAAGGUGCAUACGAUUGGUGACAGUCGGUAUGGAGCACAUAUCUAGACCCUUCCAUCAUCACUUGGACAGAAUUCAGACGUAUCUUUUAUGAUGCCUAUUACCCUCAGUCCUAUAAAGAUGCAAAGAAGGAGGGAUUUUUGAAACUAAUACAAGGCCAAAUGACUAUUGUCGAAUAUCAGGUGAAAUUUAUUGAACUUUCAAAAUAUGUCCAAGUUUUGGUAUGCAACGAAAUUGAUAAAUGCAGACGGUUUGAAAAUGAGUUAAGGGAAGAAAUCAGGUCAGUUGUAACAGUUGCAGGCUGGAAUGAAUUUGGAAAAUUAGUGGAAUCAGCUUUGAGAGUGGAAAAGAGCAUUUCUGAUAGGCCAAGUGGUAAAGAACAAACAAUGUCCAGAGCAAGCGGUAGUCAGACAAUGGUAAGUGUUUCUAGCUAUAGACCACCAUAGAGGGACAGUAGAGGAUUUCGACUUGGUGUGUCCAGUUCAAGUCAAUUCAAAUCUCGACUCCGAGGAAGUUAGGGUCCUAGAUUCAGUCCCAGUACUGUACAGCAACCAGUGGCCAGUCGUACUUAUACUCAGGGUUCUUCCCAGAGAUUAUUUACUUCGAGAUAGGGCGAGAGUUUUACUAGUACUAGACUACCUUAUUGUCAAUCAUGUAGAAGACCUCAUCUCGGCACGUAUUUAAAGUUCAAAGGAAGCGGAGUCUGUUAUCAUUGUGGUCAAGGCAGACAUAUCAGAAGAAAUUUUCCAAUUAUAUCACAGGAGAGUGGUAUGGUACCGAAGAUAUUUCCUCAGCAGAGUGCUGGUAGUACAAGACAGAAUCAGACUCAGAGAGAUGAUUCAGUUAAUAGAACAGGUGCAAACAGUGUGGCCCAGUCUAAUUUCGCAAGCGGUAGUGGUACAAAAUCAAAACAGAAGGCAGGACGACCGAAGACCCAGGGCAAAGUUUUUGCUAUGACUCAGCAGGCGACAGAGGAGUCUCCAGAUGUUAUCAUGGGUAUGUUGUCUAUUUUUAAUAGAAAUGCUUGUAUUUUGAUUGAUCCUAGAUCUACACAUUCUUUUACGUCAUUUGCAUUUGCUUUAUAUGCGAAUCAAAAGCCAGAACUUUUAGGCAGUGGUUUGGUAGUGAAUACACCAGUAGGAGAAUCACUAUUAGCAAACAAUAAAUAUCGAGAUUGUGGGAUUAAGGUAAAGGAAAAUUAGCUGUAGGCAAAUUUAAUACCUCUUGACAUACAUGAUUUCGAUGUUAUCUUGGGAAUGGACUUUUUGGCAACAAAUCGAGCUUUAGUUGAUUGGUUUCGAAAGGAGGUUGUGUUUAGACAGCUAGGACUGCCUGGAAUUAUAUUCAAUGGACAACGCAGAAUUUUACCGUCUUGUGUGAUAUCUGCUAUUGACGCUAGAAGAUUACUCAACAAGGGCUGCCAUGCAUAUUUGGCUCAUGUAAUUGAUACAUAUAUUAGCAAACUAAAACUUGAAGAUAUCCCAGUGGUCAAGGACUUUCCUGAUGUAUUUUCAAAAGAGUUACCAGGCUUACCAUCAGACAGAGAUAUGGAGUUCACUAUAGAUCUGAUUCCAGGAACUGCACCUAUUUCACAGGCACCCUAUAGAAUGGCACCAGCAAAAUUGAAAGAGCUAAAAGUUCAGUUGCAAGAGUUGGUAGACAAGGGUUUCAUCAGACCUAGUAUAUCUCCGUGGGGAGCACCAGUUUUGUUUGUGGAAAAGAAAGAUGGCAUCAUGCGACUGUGCAUAGAUUACGGACAAUUGAACAAAGUGACAAUUCGCAAUAAAUAUCCUUUGCCACGUAUUGAUGAUCUGUUUGAUCAGCUUCGAGGUGCUACAGUAUUUUCAAAGAUCGAUUUACGUUUGGGAUAUCAUCAACUUAAAAUCAGGGACAGUGAUGCGCCAAACACUGCUUUUAGGACAAAAUAUGGUCAUUUUGAAUUUCUUAUGAUGCCAUUUGGGUUGACCAACGCACCAGCAGCAUUUAUGGACAUGAUGAAUAGAGUGUUUCGCCCGUAUUUAGACAGAUUUGUAAUUGUAUUCAUUGAUAAUAUUUUAGUAUACUCUCGAGAUCAUGAUGAGCACACAGAACAUCUCAUAAUCAUCUUGCAGACUCUACGUGAUGAGUAGCUGUAUGUUAAAUUCAAUAAAUGUGAAUUUUGGCUUGAUAAAGUUGUAUUUUUGGGACAUGUAAUAUCAGCAGAAGGAGUUUAUGUUGACCCACAGAAAACAGAGGCAGUGGUAAAAUGGGAAAGACCUACUAAUGUGACAGAAAUCUGAAGUUUUCUUGGCUUAGCAGGUUAUUACCGUCGUUUUGUAAAGGGAUUUUCUAAAAUUGCUCUUCCUUUGACCAGUUUGACUAGGAAGAAUGCUAAAUUUGUUUGGAAUGAAAAUUGCGAAAAAAGUUUCCUCGAGUUGAAAAAUAGAUUAGUGUCAGUUCCAGUUCUUACGCUUCCAUCUCCUGGUGAAGAGUUUGUGAUAUAUAGUGAUACUUCACAACAGGGUCUUGGUUGUGUUUUGAUGCAGAAUGGGAAAGUUGUAACGUAUGCUUCCAGGCAGUUGACGAAACAUGAACUGAAUUAUCCUACACAUGACUUAGAGCUAACUGCAGUUGUCUUAGCUUUGAAAAUUUGGAGACAUUACUUGUAUGGUGAGAGAUGCCAGAUAUAUACAGAUCAUAAAAGCUUAAAGUAUAUUUUCGAUCAGAAAGAGUUAAAUUUGAGGCAAAGAAGAUGGUUAGAGCUGAUAAAAGAUUAUGACUGCAAGAUUGAUUAUCAUUCAGGGAAGGCUAAUAUAGUUGCUGAUGCUCUCAGUCGGAAAAUAUCGAGUCCUAUGACCUAGACUAAUGCAGUAUGUUCAUCUUUGUUUGGUGAGUUCAGAAGUUCUCAUGCUCAAUUAUCAGUUACUAGUGUAGGAUCAUUGUUUGCAAACUUUCAAGUGAGGCCUACUUUGAUUGACACAGUUAGAGAAACUCAAACUCAAGAUCCAGUGUUGAGCAAACUGAAAGAAGAAGUUAGUAAAGGUAAGCAUACAGAUUAUACCAUUCGAGAUGAUGGAGCUUUAGUUAUGGGAAACAGAUUAUGUGUUCCAGAUAAUUCGAAAUUGAAGGGAGAAAUUCUAGAAGAGGCACAUAGUUCAGCUUACGCGAUGCAUCCAGGUAGUACAAAAAUGUAUCGUGUACUCAAAGAACACUAUUGGUGGCAUGAAAAUAAAGAGAAAAAUAGCUGAGUUUGUAUCCAGAUGUCUCAUUAGCCAGCAAGUGAAACCAGAUCGUCAGAAAACAGCAGGAUUGUUACAAACGUUACCUAUUCCUGAGUGGAAAUGGGAACACAUUACUAUGAAUUUUCUAUUUAGACUUCCACGAACUCAGAGUAGACAUGAUGGUUGUUCGCGAAAUAAUUCUUUCGAUUUAAAAUUACCGCAAGUGUACGGUUCGUAACAAGUAAUAAAGUAGAUUUUUAAAAGUCUGAAUAUCGUCCAUCAGAGAUUGAGUAGUUCAAUUCUAUAUAAUCUAGCCUUAACCGAAUCUAAUUGAGUGAAAAUAUGGUCUAAUUGCAAAAAAACCUAAUUUCGACUAAAAACCCUAAUUUCAACUAAAAACCCUAAUUGCAUUUGAAAACCCUAAUUUCUCAAUUAGAAACCAUAAUUUCGAAAUUUCUCUAAUUAAAUGACUUAAACACUCAAGUAAAUGAAAUUAAGCAAGUUUAAAAGCUAAUUUAUUAAAAUGAAUCAAACUAAAGUCACUAGGAUCACGAAUCCCCAAUUGAAGUUAUAAAAACUCUAAUUUCAUAAAAUUAAUGAUUCGAUGAAAAUUUGCCAAUUCAAUGUUCUUAAUUCUAUCCAAUAUACUCUCUCGAUAUAUAUUAGACUUAUUCUUGCACACCACCAGCCUAUAUUUCUAUGGAUGAUGCAAACAUAUAAGAAUGUAUGCAGUAUUGUGAACAAUUUAAGAAUUACAUAAAGCAUAGGGGUAUAUCUCUAUCCCCUAUCGGACCCUAUGUUAAUUUACACCUUAUCGAACCUAUUCCACUUCUCUCAAAUGUAUGAAACAAGUCAUCAAUACUCACACAAUCAUUGACCACUAAUUACGGAAGAAAAUUAAUGCAUGUAAAUCAAUCAAAAUAUCCAACGAAUCUUUAUAUCAAGUUCAUGAAAUAUAAAAUUAAAAUAACAAACAACGGUUCAUCGAUUACCUAGUAAGUGAAAACCUAGCCUAGAAGAUUCAUAAUUACAGAAAACAAAACGAAAUUAAUGAAUAGAAAGAAUAACACCCGUAUGAAAGUUCUUGAAAUCUGAAAUUUUGAACAAAACCUUGAAAACCCCUUUAAAUCCUUGUGAAAUCCGCUUCAAGUUCGUGUUCAUUGCCUCCAAAAGUUGUAUUCUUCCUCUCCCUGGACAUUCUGCCCUACUUCUGAUGAAUUUUGGCUUUUAUAUUAUGUCCUCACGGAGCCCCGAAAGAGUUUCAAUUAAAAACGAAAGUUCAGAUUUUUUAUCGAAUUUAAAGCCAUGCUGCCGCAUGGUUCAAUUUUUCAGCUCAAUUGAAACCCUGCUAGACCCUGUGCGGCUGCAUGGUUAUAAAAACUUUCCUUCGGACAGUUUUUAAUAUUUUGGUCAUAACUUUCUCUCUCAAUCUCCGAUUGAAAUGAUUCAAAGUGCAUUGGGAAGAAAACUCAAAGAUAUACAUUUUGAUAGAAAUAGGCCUUCUCAAAUUCUGAUGUUUACUAUGCCAAAAAUGGAUCUCAAAUAGAGACUCAAAAUCACGUGCAUAACUUUUUCGCCUGAAAGUUAAACUUGAUAAUACUUCGACCAUGUUUCACCUCUUGACUCCUUUCCUCAUCCGAUUGACCUCGAACACUCUUGAAUCUUCAUUCAUUUCCCGUCUCAUCUAUGGAUUAUUUGCAAAUUGGUCCCCGAACUAUCGCUUUGUUCCGUUUUGGUCAUUUUUUGGCUCUUUUCUUCUGAAUUCCAUCUUUUCCCUAGAAACACAUACAUUGCAUGAAUUUAACAAGAUUAAGUCAUAAUUUAACUACUUUGUCCAUGUUUAAGUCAUGUUUGUGAGCUAAAUAAGUGUGUAAAAACACACUUAUCAAUGGUAUAUGGAUCAUUGUAGACAGAUUGACAAAGACUGCUAGAUUUUUGCCUAUUAAAGUCGCUUACUCGUUAGAUAAAUUGGCAAAAAUAUAUGUUGACGAGAUAAUCAGUUUAUAUGGGGCACCAGUAUCUAUUGUUUCAGAUAGAGAUUCUCGUUUCACUUCUAAAUUUUGGCCUAGUUUACAAAAAGUUAUGGGUACUAAACUUCAUUUCAGUACAGUUUUUCAUCCACAAACAGAUGGUCAGUCAGAAAGAACUAUUCACACUCUGGAAGACAUGUUACGAGCUUGUGUACUACGGUUUAAAGGGAAUUGGGAUACUCAUCUUUCUUUGAUGGAGUUUGCUUAUAAUAACAGUUAUCAUUCGAGUAUAUAAAUGGCUCCUUUUGAAGCACUGUAUGAUAGGAAAUGCAGAACUCCAAUAUGUUUUGAUGAAGUUGGUGAAGGAAAGUUAUUGGGUCCUGAAUAUAUCCAGAUUACUGUUGAGAAAGUAAAGAUAAUUAAAGAAAAGUUAAAAACAGCCCAAGAUAGACAGAAGAAUUAUGCAGAUAAACGCAGAAAAAACCUCGAAUUUGAUGUUGGAGAUAGAGUUUUCCUGCGAUUGUCGGCAUGGAAAGAUGUUAUUAGAUUUGAUAAACGAGGUAAAUUGAGUCGGAGAUAUAUUGGCCCAUAUGAGAUUGUUGAACGCAUCGGUCGAGUUGCAUAUCGAUUGGCUUUGCCAACAGAAUUAUCCAGAAUUCAUGAUGUAUUCCAUGAUUCUAUGUUUCCUAAGUAUAUUCAGAUCCAUCUCAUGUUUUGGAAUCACAACCAGUAGAACUGAAGGAAAAUCUUACCUAUGAAGAAAAACCAAUUCAGAUAUUGGAUAGGAAGGAACAGGUUUUGCGUAGUAAGACUAUUCCAUUGGUUAAAGUCUUGUGGAGGAAUCAUGCUAUAGAAGAAGCGACAUGGGAAAGUGAAGAGUAGAUGCGUUCUCAGUAUCCCUAGAUUUUUCGUACCUAGUUGAUUGAAUUUCGAGGACGAAAUUCUUUUAAGAAUGUAAGUUUGUAAUACCUUCAUAAGUAAUUAAAAAUAUAUAUAUAUAUAUAUAUAUAUAUAAUGGUCAAAGAUGUCAUGCUAUGAAAACAAAACAAAAAGCGAAAACCAAAAAAAAAGAUUAUUAAAAUAAAAUAACAUGAGGCGGCUUUAGCUAGUGUAUAUCAUUCCAAUUUCUUGCAAAUUCAUCUCAAUACCCACACACACAAAAGAAACCGAUACAGAGAAAGAAAAAGAGAGAAAAAGAGGAAGAAAAAAAAAAGGAAAAAUUCGCCAAUAUGUUAGGAAUCAAGUGCUCUAUCCUAUUGGGCUUGAAUUUCUCAAUUUUGAAAGGUAAGUAAAAAGUUACUUAUUGUUAAGUUAUGUUUGAUUGUAUAAUUGUUAGAUAGUUAGGCUAAAUUUAAUUUUAUUGAAGGGGUUAAGUGUAAUAAACUAUGAAAUUGAGUAUAAUAAAAGAAAAAUUAAUUUUAGUAAUUAAAGAGACGUUAGAAAUCGCCUAAACGUGAAAUAAUUAAGUUUGGGUAUCGUCUAUUUAAUUAAUGAAAUUUAUUAAAUUAGUUAAUUGUUGAUUUAAAAAUUAUAUUAUAUUUCAGGCGACGAUACGAAUAUCGGGACAGCGUAUCAAUCGAAUUGAUUUUGGCGUACAUAGUUCUGUGAGUGGAAAAAUAUAAAUAUUUUUAAAGUAUUUAUAAAGUAAGUUAUUGUUAAAGUAUGUGCAAUUAUAUGCAAUUAUGUGUUCGAAUUACAUGAUUUCUAUGGAAAUAUCUUUUAUUAUGAUACAUGUGGGAUUUCAAAGAUUGUAUAAGUUACAUUGUGAAUUGGAAUAUGAGAUAUGAUUUUGAGAUCGACCAGAAAAGUACCCGUGAUUAUAUAUUUCUUCUAGUUCACUGAGGGGCCUUGGCUGUGUUCUAUACUACACUUAGAGUUCAUGGACCGGGGAUGAAGGGGUCUCGACCGUGUAUAUAUAGUUCAUUGAGGGAUUUUGACCGUGUUCUAGAAUUGAUUUUGAGAGGUCUUUCAGACCGACUUUCGUUCACGGAGGGGCCAAAGGCCCGUGGCGAAAGUUCUUAGCCCGAGAGGCGGAUUACAUAUUUCAGUCAGAGGGUACAUUUUUGGUGAAUUUUUCAGCACGUUUGAUGUGAUGAGAUUAUAAUAUGGUAUCAGCUGAUGUUAUAUCAUGAUUUUAAGAUGAUAUUUUUAUGACAUUAUGUGAAUAUUUCACUUUUUGGCUAUAAUUACAUGAUGGUAGCUUGUGAAUUAUCAAAUGGUAUGAAUUUGAUUUUCAAUAAAAAUGUAUAAAUGAAAAAGCAUAUUUAUUUUGAAUUUCUCCACUCACUAAGCUAUCAACUCAUAUAUUUUUCCACGUUUUUCCUUAUCAGGCAGCAGUUGAGAAUCUGAGCAUCUUUUGGAGUUGAACCUUGAUUUUGGAGUUAGAGCCACACGACAGAGUUUGUUAGUAUGACUCACUUCAUAGAACAUGUAGUCAGUGUUUUGGGACGCAUGUUCAUAUCUAGAUGUGAUUUUGCAUCACUUGUAGUUAGUUAUGGGGCUCACUAUGUAUUAUGUAUCCAUAUGUAUAUUUUAUUGUAUUUCUUGAUAAAAGUGGAGAUUUCGGCUUAUCUUUAUUGUGCUAUGUUAUAGUUUGAGAUUUGUAUGAAAUUGAUCACAGGUUGGUUAGUCCUGUUUAUAGGGGAGAUAAUGCCGAAAUUUUGUUAGAUAAAUAAUGUAUAAAAAGUGAUAUAUUGUAUUUGUAGUAGUUUUGAUGGUGGGUCCGACUUUUAGUUAGUAUCUAUCAUCGGCACAUGCCACGUCCGGAUCUAGUGGUGUUACAUGGGGCGGGUGUGUCACUAUCCCCAAUCCCUGGUCCCCUCCCUGUGUUUGUAGCAAAUCUCAAAUACUUUUUAGAGAGCAUUAAAUGUCCGUCAACUAUGAUUGACAUAUUGAUACCUAAGAGGAGAUGCCUCAACCAUCGGAUGAGUUCAUGUGUCUUUUCAUCCAAUGGUCAGUAUUUCUCCUCCACUAUAAAGCUUACACCUGGUGUCAUUUUGAAAGUAAUGCAACUUUACAUAUAUGAACGUAAACUCCCUCUCUGUCUCUCUCUCUCUCUCUUAUAUAUUCCUGAUAUACAUACACAUUUUGUAGUUCACAUCUCAAGCACAUUACACACUUAAGAUAUAUCUUCAUCAACUGACUUGACCAAUGAAAUGCUCACAGUCACCUUCCCCACCAUCAGAGAAAGCCACGAUUGAUUAACGGUUUGUCAAUGUAAGGGUGGCACAAAGAUGGAAAAAUCAGUUGACUAAUUUGUUAAAUUGUUGACUUGUUUUGUUGCAAAAAUGUGUUUUUGUUAAAAUUGUGUUUUUUCCCAUAAAUGGACGCUCGAGACGAUGCCAUGUGUCGACCCCACUAACAUUGGCAAGCUGACCUUUUGGUGACCCUUAUGAAAGGAGUCCUAAGGUUUGAGAUGCAGGAUUUUUCUUCUUUGAGACUCUUCUUUUCUUUGACUGUUUGUGUUCUUCAUCUUCCGUUCUUUGAAUUUCAAAACUCUCUUUUGAUUUUGAGUUAUUCUCUGAAAUCUGUUGUAAUUUUGAGUGAUUUCUUCUGAGUUGAGUAAUAUGUUCUUGUGUGAACAUUGGAUUGAUGAGAGAAGGCUGAGUUUUAUUUGAUCUUGUGUGGUUACAGUCUGAGUGCCAAAAAUCCAGAGUUUUACACAUUGGUUCUAGUUCUUUCUGUCAGUAGUUCUUCCUAUGACGGAAGCACUUGUAUUUUGGGUGUUAUUGCCUUAGGGCAAAAGUUUAAUGAAAUUUCUUUUUACAGAUCUUGUUCAUUCUUUUUGUUUCUAGUGUGAUUUUUGUUGUUUGAAUCAUUCUAAUUGUUUGAACGUCCUCUUAACAAUCAAAUUUUGUAGAAAAUAAACUUACAUGAAUGCGAGUGGAGUCGGAAUCUAUUGAUCACACUGGAGGUACAAAAGCCGAGGUCAAACAGUUUUAUAUAUCGAGAUACUCAAAUCUUGUUCAUCAACAUAUAGCUUUAUUUCUUCAAUCACGAUAUAAGUAUAGAAAAAUUUAACAGAAAAUUUUGACGAACAAUACAUGACGUAAAAUUAUUGGAAGACGGAAAAAACACACAAAAAAAAAAGGCAAAUCAAGUUACACCACAUCAGCAUAUGUAUGAAUUGGAUAAGGAAAUCUUUAUUUUUCUUUAUUUCUUUUCUUUAGAACUGUGGAUGGGGGUAUUUUAUUGCCCUCUGAACAAGGUGGAUGUUAGAAUUUAUUGAAUGAAAUUAAACUUCAUAAAACAGAAGAAAGAGGCACUCCAUGAUUGGAGGAGAAGAAACCUCCAUGAAAGGAGGGAUUGGAAUUCCACAAUCCAAUAAUUUAUUAAUGAAUACAAUGACUCCAUUUAUAGAGAAAAAAGAUGAGUAAUUAACUGACUAAUUUGCUAAUUAACAGGCUAAUCACUAACUAAUUAACAUCCUAGACAUGAGCUGGAAUAUUCUAAAUUUGCUGUAACAUAUUUCUAACACACCCCCUCAAGAUGGAGUAUAGAUAUCAACAAUAGUUCAUUUUGAAGAUUAAAGAGUACUGGAGGAAAAAACCAUCAUGAAUAGCCUUGCAGAACAAAUCUCUUGAAUCCAUACAUAUGAGCAUCCAUUAGAUCAGCACGAAAUAUCACCAGACAUUCCAUUCCCAUUCCAUUUCGUGCCAGUGCACAAUGCUUUCAGAGUUGAGGAGACAUGUUUUGUACGACAAACUUGGUGAGGUUCAUAAUGCAGAAAGGGAUGAUGUUUUCAAUGGUAGCAAACUGGCGGGUCAUCAGAUUUCACCAAAUCUGAUGGAGAAAUAAGACUUAGUGUAGGCUCUGACCAUCCAUAAAGAUCUUUGAAAGUUCAGAGAACCAAAAUCUGAAAGAGAAGAAAUUUUAUUGUAGAGAAUCAAGGACGAAUUUUGAUGUUGCUGGCGCCAUUUUCUGAAGACGGGAACCAAACUUUUGCUGGAAUAACACUUUCCGGAAUUAUGCUAAAAUAGAAAAAAUUAGAGAUUUGCUUUCAUUUGUGCAGAACACAGAAAGAGGGGAUGAAAAUCUCAGAAAAACACAGCAGCAGGAAGAACUUUGCUCUGAUACCAUGUUAGAAUUUAUUGAAUGAAUUUAAACUUCAUAAAAUAGAAGAAAGAGGCACUCCAUGAUUGGAGGAGAAGAAACCUCCAUGAAAGGAGGGAUUGGAAUUCCACAAUCCAAUAAUUUAUAAAUGAAUACAAUGACUCCAUUUAUAGAGAAAAAAGAUAAGUAAUUAACUGACUAAUUUGCUAAUUAACAGGCUAAUCACUAACUAAUUAACAUCCUAGACAUGAGCUGAAAUAUUCUAAAUUUGCUGUUACUUAUUUCUAACAGUGGAUGAUUUAAACUUUUACAUGCCAAAGCAUUAAUAUUUUCUUGCCGUUUGUUUUUUUUUUUUUUUUUUUGGCUAGAUAACUAAUUUCUUAUCUUUCUUCAAAUCACAGGUUCCAACUCAAAAGGCACUCUACUCUACGAUCGCGUUAGAAACAAAGGUGAAUUUUUUCAUUAUCUAUUCAAGUCGUCAUGCUCUAUUUGAUUUUAGGGAUGUCAAACGGGUUGAGCGACUCGUCAGCUCGUUAAAGCUCUGCUCGUGGGUGGACAAAAGUUUGAAAAAUAAAAUAAAAUAAAAUUAGAGCUUGUGGGCUCAGCUCAACUAGCCCACGAGCUCGUGAGCCAAGCUUGAACACGAAUUGAGCUUGUCUCAUUGUUAAGGACCGAGCCGGCUGCCACCUCUAUUUGAUUUGUAUCAACAAAUUGUAGUGUCCUUUUCAGUUUGGGUUGUCUCCGAUUCAUCACAUUUCACAAUUUUGGAAGAUUAUGCCUGUGUUUUUUUUUGUUUUUUUUUUUUUCCACAUCUACUGAUUUUUUGCACGGGGAUUUCAAUUAUCUUAUAUAUUUGCAUGGGGUUUAAACUCAUAGCCACACACACUUCAUAUGAAUUUUAUUUUUAUUCCAAACACAUUUCUAGAUUCCCCCCAUAUAUAUAGGUCUAGGUGUAAAAAAAUUACUCUUUUCCAACAAAAAAUCAUCACUACUCUUUUUUGAGCAAGUAUAAGAAAAGUUCCAGUAGUUGUCAUUCUCUGUGUUAUUGCCUUUGGAAACUUACAUGUACAUGCCUGUUGUUGCCGAAGCUUGCUCAAAAAUCGUUGCAAAGGUGAUGUUCGGGCUCGAUUCCACGUUACCUUUCUCAACCAACAAUCAAUUUAAAUUGGCCCAAACCACAACCAAUAUCUCCACUUAGGUUGCUUCUUAAUCUAACUCACAAGGGACAAGAAAAUGGUGAUGAUUUGCAAGCCGCAAAGGUGAAAAAAAAAAAAAAAAAAAAAAAAAAAAAAAAAAAAAAAAGAACAGGAACAAAAAAGAAGAAGAAGAAAGCCACCGGCUUUCCAAGCAAGUCACAUACAUUUCUUCCCUCAUGCACAGAUCACACGUGACUACAUCAAUGAAAGAGGCAAUAAUACUGAUGGUGACUGGUGAGGAAACCAAUUUGGGACAAGACUAUAAGCCCUCAAAUAAGUGAAUAUUUAGGCCAUGAGUAUGUGCGGACGCAAAAAUAUUUAGUUAAGAGGGUACAAUCAAACUCGGUACACAGGGACGGGAUGUAGGGGGGACUGAGCUUGGCAGUAUGCCCAAGAAAUUUUUUUAAGGCAUUUUUAUUUUUAUUUUUUUUGUAAAAAUAGUUUUUAUGUGUAAUUUUUUUUUUCCGCGUAUUUGCUCGGCUUUAAAUUUUGAAACCCGUUCUUGGAUCCAAUCCUGAAUCCGUCCCUGUUGAUACAAAUCAAAUACUUUGUUAUUAGUUUUUGAAUGAUUUAUAUUUGACUCGAAAAAAAUGCAGAUUUACAUUUAAAAAGCAUUUAUUCAUUAACAUUGUGCUCAUCAUUUUCAUUGAUUUAAUUUCAAACGGUCAUUUUAUUAAUAUUUUACUCAUCACAAGAAAAAUUAUUCUUACGUUUACAAAUUUUUUAGUGUAUUUAAUAAAAAACAAUUAACUCAAGUGAUCGAAAGAAAAAAUAUAUAACCAAUUUUCAAUCAAAUUAAUACAAUUCAUUGAAGAAAAACUAAAUUGGAUAUAGUUAGUUUAGUACAUUCUAUGUACACAAAUAGGAUUGGAGAAAAUGCAAAUUUAGAUUCUAAUUAGUUGAAAAUUCCAUUACAAAGUGAUUUGUAGAAAAAUUAUAAACAAAUUUUUAAAAAUUAGACGGUUAAGGUUUUGGUAAAAGGUGUGAAAGAGAGAGAAAGAGAAAAGAUUCAAAUUUAUUGUAAUUUUGCUCCUGUUUGGUGGGGGUUAAAAUCAGAUUUUUAGUAAAUUUUAAUAAAAAUUAAAAAGUUAAAGAUUCCAUGAAAUAUGUUAUUAAAAUUAAGGAAAAAUUGUAGUCGAGGUACCAAACCUUUCGUUUACUAGCAGACUUUGCUCAAACCUUUAGUUUGUGCCACCCACAAUUCUAAACCUUUCAAAAAUAUGCACCGAGGGUUCAAAUGGAUGGAAACCGUCCGCUUGACAGUUAGUUGACUAGAAAAGUCAAAAUUUGACCAAUUUGGACCAAAUUAAAAAGGGCAAAGUGGUACUUUGUAUUUUUUCUUAAUAUUAAUAAUUAAUAAUAACAAUAGAAAAGUAAAAACAAAAUAAAUAAAAAUCAAAGAAAAGAAAGGGAAUACUGUUCAUCUUCAUCUUCACCCCACCUCGCCUCACCUCGUCCCACGCCACCCAAUCAGACUGCAAUCAGAUUGUCAAUGACUGUCAAUGCCUGCAAUCAGACUGUCAAUAACUUCACUGUUCAAGAGGCAAAAAUGACCAAGGACAAUAGGAAGUUUCAUUCUUUGGGCAUUAUACAGUUCUGCAUUAUAAGAAAAUUAUACUGCAAAAAACUGAUAACAAAAUGGAGUAAAGAACUAAUUUAUAUGCAAAUCUAUAUCCUAUUUACAUUAUUCUCGUUUUGCAGAAUAAGUUGUGUGAUGUUGAACAAAGGGAAGCAUACUGCUGAAGCGGUCUCUACUCUCAUCAAGAGAUGUACAUGUGGCGGUUUGUUGAGGGGAAGGGGUCCUGGCGGCUGGUGCUACAAUGGCCGGAGAGAGAAAUGAAUUGAGGGGUCAAAUUGGCCAGAGACUGUGGUGGUGACCGCCC
rnacentral:lncRNA from 1 species